rnacentral:tRNA from 1 species
UUCUCCGUGGUGUACCGGUCAACAUAUCGCGCUUUCACCGCGAAGCUCCGGGUUCGAUUCCCGGCGGGGAAG